rnacentral:misc_RNA from 1 species
AAGUCGUAACAAGGUUUCCGUAGGUGAACCUGCGGAAGGAUCAUUGACAAAUCUAAAAUAUAUGACAUUAGUUCAGGGUAAAACUUGGACUUAAUGUAAUAUUUACCCGGAGCCAGUUUGGCUCGGUCAAUUUUUGUCGAGAUUUAUCUCUACAGAAAUUGUCAAUUGAGCUAUUGAAGUGAAAUAUAUUCAAUAGCACAUAAACUCGAUUGUAUUUGUUUGACAGUGUAUUAUUUAAUUGUAAUUUUAGCACAAUUUGUGUUGAGCUUACCGUUAAGUAUUAUUUAAAAAUAUAUACAA